GCCCAAGAGAUCGGGAUAACACCUGGAAACAGAUGCUAAUACCGGAUAACAACAGAUGAUGCCUAUCAACUGUUUAAAAGAUGGUUCUGCUAUCACUCUUGGAUGGACCUGCGGUGCAUAGCUAGUUGGUAGGGUAACGGCCUACCAAGGCGAUGAUGCAUAGCCGAGUUGAGAGACUGAUCGGCCACAUUGGGACUGAGACACGGCCCAAACUCCUACGGGAGGCAGCAGCG
rnacentral:rRNA from 1 species